GACGAACGCUGGCGGCGUGCUUAACACAUGCAAGUCGUACGGUAAGGCCCUUUCGGGGGUACCCGAGUGGCGAACGGGUGAGUAACACGUGAGUAACCUGCCUACAACUUUGGGAUAACGCUAGGAAACUGGUGCUAAUACUGGAUAUGUGCCCCUGCUGCAUGGUGGGGGUUGGAAAGCUCCGGCGGUUGUGGAUGGACUCGCGGCCUAUCAGCUUGUUGGUGGGGUAGUGGCCUACCAAGGCGGCGACGGGUAGCCGGCCUGAGAGGGUGACCGGCCACAUUGGGACUGAGAUACGGCCCAGACUCCUACGGGAGGCAGCAGGGGGGAAUAUUGCACAAUGGGCGCAAGCCUGAUGCAGCAACGCCGCGUGCGGGAUGACGGCCUUCGGGUUGUAAACCGCUUUCAGCAGGGACGAAGCUUUUUGUGACGGUACCUGCAGAAGAAGCACCGGCUAACUACGUG
rnacentral:rRNA from 1 species